AUGGCUUCCUCUGCCGGCGUCGCCCUUAACCUCGGUUCGCCGCCAUCUGAGAGGCUCGCAAGAGGAAACUUCAUCCUCUGGAAGACUCAGGUGCUUCUAGCCCUGCGAGGUGCGCAGGUGACUGGACUCCUCGACAACACAAACGCCGCUCUGCCCAGGAUGGUGGAGGUCACGAAGGCGGACAAAACCACGACCCUAGAGCCGAACCCUAUGUAUGGGCCUUGGAUCGCCAAAGACCAGCAGGUCCUGUCUUAUCUUCUGAAUUCCAUGUCGCCGGAGAUCCUUGCGCAGGUCGUCGGGAAGGACUCCACUUUUGAACUCUGGACGACGGUGACAAACCUCUUCGCCUCGCAGUCGUAA
rnacentral:rRNA from 1 species